rnacentral:rRNA from 1 species
CACGUAGGGGGCGAGCGUUGUCCGGAUUUAUUGGGCGUAAAGAGCUCGUAGGCGGUUUGGUGAGUCGGGUGUGAAAUCUCCACGCUCAACGUGGAGGGGCCACCCGAUACUGCCAUGACUAGAGUCCGGUAGGGGAGUGUGGAAUUCCCGGUGUAGCGGUGAAAUGCGCAGAUAUCGGGAGGAACACCAGCGGCGAAGGCGGCCCCCUGGGCCGGUCCUGACGCUGAGACGCGAAGGCCAGGGUAGCGAACGGG